CAGCCGCCGCGGUAAUACAGAGGGUGCAAGCGUUAAUCGGAAUUACUGGGCGUAAAGCGCGCGUAGGUGGUUCGCCAAGUUGGAUGUGAAAUCCCCGGGCUCAACCUGGGAACUGCAUCCAAAACUGGCAAGCUAGAGUAUGGUAGAGGGUGGUGGAAUUUCCUGUGUAGCGGUGAAAUGCGUAGAUAUAGGAAGGAACACCAGUGGCGAAGGCGACCACCUGGACUGAUACUGACACUGAGGUGCGAAAGCGUGGGGAGCAAACAGGAUUAGAUACCCCGGUAGUCCCUGUCUCUUAUAC
rnacentral:rRNA from 1 species